rnacentral:ribozyme from 1 species
GGCGUCCAUCGUUCUGUAAAAGAGUUGGAUCCGAUGCCCCUAGAAGGCUACUAUAAGCUCUCCUUCUCAACUCCUACUCAAUACGUCCACGACGUGCAGAACGGUAACUUGCCGCCUAGUUCCAAGCUUGGGUACACGGGGAAACCCAACCGCUUGGGCGGACGGGCGGCAAGGCUGAAUUGAGAGGU